rnacentral:tRNA from 1 species
GCGGAAGUGGCGGAAUUGGUAGACGCACCAGAUUUAGGUUCUGGCGCCGCAGGUGUGAGAGUUCAAGUCUCUCCUUCCGCACCA